CCUACGGGUGGCAGCAGUGAGGAAUAUUGGUCAAUGGGCGCGAGCCUGAACCAGCCAAGUCGCGUGAAGGAUGACUGCCCUACGUAUUGUAAACUUCUUUUAUAAGGGAAUAAAGUGAGGCACGUGUGCCUGUUUGUAUGUACUUUAUGAAUAAGGAUCGGCUAACUCCGUGCCAGCAGCCGCGGUAAUACGGAGGAUCCGAGCGUUAUCCGGAUUUAUUGGGUUUAAAGGGAGCGUAGGUGGGUUGUUAAGUCAGUUGUGAAAGUUUGGGGCUCAACCGUAGAAUUGCAGUUGAAACUGGCAGCCUUGAGUUCAGGAGAGGUAGGCGGAAUGCGUGGUGUAGCGGUGAAAUGCUUAGAUAUCACGAAGAACUCCGAUUGCGAAGGCAGCAUACUAACCUGCCACUGACAUUGAGGCUCGAAAGUGUGGGUAUCAAACAGGAUUAGAUACCCCGGUAGUC
rnacentral:rRNA from 1 species